rnacentral:rRNA from 1 species
CACUUCUAAGGAAGGCAGCAGGCGCGCAAAUUACCCAAUCCUGACUCAGGGAGGUAGUGACAAGAAAUAACAAUAAACCGGCUUAUGCCGGUUUAAUUGGAAUGAGUACAAUUUAAACAUCUUAACGAGGAACAAUUGGAGGGCAAGUCUGGUGCCAGCAGCCGCGGUAAUUCCAGCUCCAAUAGCGUAUACUAAAGUUGUUGCAGUUAAAAAGCUCGUAGUUGGAUUUCUGUGGGGACGGAGCGGCCGGCCGCACAUCGCGGUUCGAGCUAGCGCUUUCCCUACAUCCUGCCGCGAAUCGUGCUACCAUUAGUUUGGUGGCGCUGGGGAUCGGCUCGAUUACUUUGAGAAAAAUAGAGUGUUCAAAGCAGGUCACAUGCCUUGAAUAAGUUAGCAUGGAAUAAUAACUAAGGACUUCGGUUCUAUUUUGUUGGUGUUCGGGACUGAAGUAAUGAUUGAUAGGGACAGUUGGGGCGGUCUGUAUUCCAAAGCGAGAGGUGAAAUUCUUAGACCUUCGGAAGACAAACAGCUGCGAAAGCGUUCCGCAAGGAUGUUCCCUUUGAUCAAGAACGAAAGUUGGGGGAUCGAAGACGAUCAGAUACCGUCGUAGUCUCAACUAUAAACUAUACCAGCUAGGGAUCGGCCAACGUUAUUUUAUACCGACUUGGUCGGCACCUUAUGAGAAAUCAAAGCAUCUGGGUUCCGGGGGGAGUAUGGUCGCAAGGCUGAAACUUAAAGGAAUUGACGGAAGGGCACCACCAGCCGUGGAGCCUGUGGCUUAAUUUGACUCAACACGGGAAAACUUACCAGGUCCAGACAUAGUAAGGAUUGACAGAUUGAUAGCUCUUUCUUGAUUCUGUGGGUGGUGGUGCAUGGCCGUUCUUAGUUGGUGGAGUGAUUUGUCUGGUUAAUUCCGUUAACGAACGAGACCCCAGCCUGCUAAAUAGCGCGUGUGAGCUUUGCUCGCAGCGAGCUUCUUAGAGGGACUAUGAUGCGCGAUAGCACAUGGAAGUUUGGGGCAAUAACAGGUCUGUGAUGCCCUUAGAUGUUCUGGGCCGCACACGGGCUACACUGGCGCCUGCAACGAGCAUAUCAGCUGGCCCGAGAGGGUCUUGGCUAAUCUUUUGAACCGGCGCCGUGCUUGGGAUUGACCUUUGCAAUUGUUGGUCAUGCAACGAGGAAUGCCUUGUAAACGCGAGUCAUCAGCUCGCAUUGAAUACGUCCCUGCCCUUUGUACACACCGCCCGUCGCUCCUACCGAUGAAUGUUCCGAUGAAAUUUUCGGAGAGUGCCUGUGAACUUGGCUCUGCCUUGCGAACGGGAAGCUCAAAGUCACUUAAAUCUGAACAUUU